GAGACACCCUUCUGGGGCAAGACUUGCUUCAGUGGGGCUUUGGAGCUCACUGAGUCUGCCCCCUGAAUGUGUCCCU
rnacentral:pre_miRNA from 1 species